rnacentral:lncRNA from 1 species
GUCUGGACCACCACCCGAGGUCAGAGGAGAGCUUCCCAGAGAGGAGGACCAGAGUCAAUUCCGACCCAAGCGGCAUAUCCCCGAACACUGGGCCUGCGCAGCCGCUCAGCACAGCUUCCUGUUUAAUGACGACACUGUCUGGCGGCCUCACUUCGCCCUCCCUGCUCCCUGAAGAAAAGAGCUCUUUCCCAUCUCCAUCUCAAUUCGCCUGCACAGCAGCAUCAACAGAACAGCAGAACAGACCACCAGAGGAUCAAUUAUUGUAGCAGAUAGGAGACAAC